GGCAGUUCUCGUGUGAUGCACCUCAGAAUCAGGCUCCCUCCUCUCUGGUUCCCGGUGCAUCGCCUGAAAACCGCA
rfam:Myotis davidii contig229430, whole genome shotgun sequence.